rnacentral:rRNA from 1 species
GAUUAAGUUAUUAAGGGCGCACGGUGGAUGCCUUGGCACUAGAAGCCGAUGAAGGACGUUACUAACGACGAUAUGCUUUGGGGAGCUGUAAGUAAGCUUUGAUCCAGAGAUUUCCGAAUGGGGAAACCCAGCAUGAGUUAUGUCAUGUUAUCGAUAUGUGAAUACAUAGCAUAUCAGAAGGCACACCCGGAGAACUGAAACAUCUUAGUACCCGGAGGAAGAGAAAGAAAAUUCGAUUCCCUUAGUAGCGGCGAGCGAAACGGGAAGAGCCCAAACCAACAAGCUUGCUUGUUGGGGUUGUAGGACACUCUAUACGGAGUUACAAAGGACGACAUUAGACGAAUCAUCUGGAAAGAUGAAUCAAAGAAGGUAAUAAUCCUGUAGUCGAAAAUGUUGUCUCUCUUGAGUGGAUCCUGAGUACGACGGAGCACGUGAAAUUCCGUCGGAAUCUGGGAGGACCAUCUCCUAAGGCUAAAUACUCUCUAGUGACCGAUAGUGAACCAGUACCGUGAGGGAAAGGUGAAAAGCACCCCGGAAGGGGAGUGAAAUAGAACCUGAAACCGUGUGCUUACAAGUAGUCAGAGCCCGUUAAUGGGUGAUGGCGUGCCUUUUGUAGAAUGAACCGGCGAGUUACGAUUUGAUGCAAGGUUAAGCAGUAAAUGUGGAGCCGUAGCGAAAGCGAGUCUGAAUAGGGCGUUUAGUAUUUGGUCGUAGACCCGAAACCAGGUGAUCUACCCUUGGUCAGGUUGAAGUUCAGGUAACACUGAAUGGAGGACCGAACCGACUUACGUUGAAAAGUGAGCGGAUGAACUGAGGGUAGCGGAGAAAUUCCAAUCGAACCUGGAGAUAGCUGGUUCUCUCCGAAAUAGCUUUAGGGCUAGCCUCAAGUGAUGAUUAUUGGAGGUAGAGCACUGUUUGGACGAGGGGCCCCUCUCGGGUUACCGAAUUCAGACAAACUCCGAAUGCCAAUUAAUUUAACUUGGGAGUCAGAACAUGGGUGAUAAGGUCCGUGUUCGAAAGGGAAACAGCCCAGACCACCAGCUAAGGUCCCAAAAUAUAUGUUAAGUGGAAAAGGAUGUGGCGUUGCCCAGACAACUAGGAUGUUGGCUUAGAAGCAGCCAUCAUUUAAAGAGUGCGUAAUAGCUCACUAGUCGAGUGACACUGCGCCGAAAAUGUACCGGGGCUAAACAUAUUACCGAAGCUGUGGAUUGUCCUUUGGACAAUGGUAGGAGAGCGUUCUAAGGGCGUUGAAGCAUGAUCGUAAGGACAUGUGGAGCGCUUAGAAGUGAGAAUGCUGGUGUGAGUAGCGAAAGACGGGUGAGAAUCCCGUCCACCGAUUGACUAAGGUUUCCAGAGGAAGGCUCGUCCGCUCUGGGUUAGUCGGGUCCUAAGCUGAGGCCGACAGGCGUAGGCGAUGGAUAACAGGUUGAUAUUCCUGUACCACCUAUAAUCGUUUUAAUCGAUGGGGGGACGCAGUAGGAUAGGCGAAGCGUGCGAUUGGAUUGCACGUCUAAGCAGUAAGGCUGAGUAUUAGGCAAAUCCGGUACUCGUUAAGGCUGAGCUGUGAUGGGGAGAAGACAUUGUGUCUUCGAGUCGUUGAUUUCACACUGCCGAGAAAAGCCUCUAGAUAGAAAAUAGGUGCCCGUACCGCAAACCGACACAGGUAGUCAAGAUGAGAAUUCUAAGGUGAGCGAGCGAACUCUCGUUAAGGAACUCGGCAAAAUGACCCCGUAACUUCGGGAGAAGGGGUGCUCUUUAGGGUUAACGCCCAGAAGAGCCGCAGUGAAUAGGCCCAAGCGACUGUUUAUCAAAAACACAGGUCUCUGCUAAACCGUAAGGUGAUGUAUAGGGGCUGACGCCUGCCCGGUGCUGGAAGGUUAAGAGGAGUGGUUAGCUUCUGCGAAGCUACGAAUCGAAGCCCCAGUAAACGGCGGCCGUAACUAUAACGGUCCUAAGGUAGCGAAAUUCCUUGUCGGGUAAGUUCCGACCCGCACGAAAGGCGUAACGAUUUGGGCACUGUCUCAACGAGAGACUCGGUGAAAUCAUAGUACCUGUGAAGAUGCAGGUUACCCGCGACAGGACGGAAAGACCCCGUGGAGCUUUACUGUAGCCUGAUAUUGAAAUUCGGCACAGCUUGUACAGGAUAGGUAGGAGCCUUUGAAACGUGAGCGCUAGCUUACGUGGAGGCGCUGGUGGGAUACUACCCUAGCUGUGUUGGCUUUCUAACCCGCACCACUUAUCGUGGUGGGAGACAGUGUCAGGCGGGCAGUUUGACUGGGGCGGUCGCCUCCUAAAAGGUAACGGAGGCGCUCAAAGGUUCCCUCAGAAUGGUUGGAAAUCAUUCAUAGAGUGUAAAGGCAUAAGGGAGCUUGACUGCGAGACCUACAAGUCGAGCAGGGUCGAAAGACGGACUUAGUGAUCCGGUGGUUCCGCAUGGAAGGGCCAUCGCUCAACGGAUAAAAGCUACCCCGGGGAUAACAGGCUUAUCUCCCCCAAGAGUUCACAUCGACGGGGAGGUUUGGCACCUCGAUGUCGGCUCAUCGCAUCCUGGGGCUGUAGUCGGUCCCAAGGGUUGGGCUGUUCGCCCAUUAAAGCGGUACGCGAGCUGGGUUCAGAACGUCGUGAGACAGUUCGGUCCCUAUCCGUCGUGGGCGUAGGAAAUUUGAGAGGAGCUGUCCUUAGUACGAGAGGACCGGGAUGGACAUACCUCUGGUGUACCAGUUGUCGUGCCAACGGCAUAGCUGGGUAGCUAUGUGUGGACGGGAUAAGUGCUGAAAGCAUCUAAGCAUGAAGCCCCCCUCAAGAUGAGAUUUCCCAACUUCGGUUAUAAGAUCCCUCAAAGAUGAUGAGGUUAAUAGGUUCGAGGUGGAAGCAUGGUGACAUGUGGAGCUGACGAAUACUAAUCGAUCGAAGACUUAAUCAA